GGCGAACGGGUGAGGAACACGUGAAGAAUCUGCCUUCAACUCUGGGAUAACUCCGGGAAACCGGGGCUAAUACCGGAUAUGAGCCUUGGCCGCAUGGCCGGGGCUGGAAAGUUUUUCGGUUGAAGAUGACUUCGCGGCCUAUCAGCUUGUUGGUGAGGUAACGGCUCACCAAGGCGACGACGGGUAGCCGGCCUGAGAGGGCGACCGGCCACACUGGGACUGAGACACGGCCCAGACUCCUACGGGAGGCAGCAGUGGGGAAUAUUGGGCAAUGGAGGAAACUCUGACCCAGCGACGCCGCGUGAGGGAUGAAGGCCUUCGGGUUGUAAACCUCUUUCAGUAGGGAAGAAGCGAAAGUGACGGUACCUACAGAAGAAGCACCGGCUAACUAUGUGCCAGCAGCCGCGGUAAUACAUAGGGUGCAAGCGUUGUCCGGAAUUAUUGGGCGUAAAGAGCUCGUAGGUGGUUCGAUACGUCGGAUGUGAAAAUCAGGGGCUCAACCCCUGACCUGCAUUCGAUACGGUCGAGCUAGAGUUUGGUAGGGGAGACUGGAAUUCCUGGUGUAGCGGUGGAAUGCGCAGAUAUCAGGAGGAACACCGAUGGCGAAGGCAGGUCUCUGGGCCAAUACUGACACUGAGGAGCGAAAGCGUGGGGAGCGAACAGGAUU
rnacentral:rRNA from 1 species